ACCCCACCCCAGAUCCGGGCGUCGUCCUGGACCUCCCUGUGGCCCCGGCCGGCCGGCCGCUGACCUUGACCAGGGCGGUCUCCGCGUCUCCCAGGAGCUUCUUAGAGGCAGUGGCUUCAGACAGACACGCCUGACGUCGUGCGACUCCACAACUAGCCCCACGCGGGUACGGCCCUUCUCUUGUCUGCCGUGAGGACGUCACUUCUUCCCAAGACGGUUUUCCUACCAAAUCUUAACUGGCCCUAUUACUCUUGACUGAUCUCCAUUGUUUCCUGGAACCCUACCACCUUCCGCACCUGCGCAUCUUGCGCUCCUCACCCCCAUGUUCAUCACUGGGGGUCAUCUCUGCCGGGCGUGUGAGACUCGUGUUCUCUCCACCGUCCAGGUGAGGAACCCGGGUGCCAGCGAUCAGUCGGGACUGGCACUUGGGACUCUUGUCCCCACGGUCCCUGCUGUGGCAGAGCUGGGAUUUGAACACAGGCCUUUAAGGGCCUAUUUAACCUUUGUUUCUGUGGGGUAGUGUUUCUGUCCAUCUUCUUUCUCCUGGGGCAGGGACGGUUUUGCUUCCUCUUCUUGACCCGAUCCAUCGGCCUGGCUCAGCAAAGGCAAAGUAAAAGUGCUAAACAGAAUUACUUUUCGAAUGAAGUAAACCGCUUGUACCUAGCCCCUUUCUUCUGUGUCUUUUAGCCCUGCCUCUGCCUCUUGCCUCCUUUAGUGUGGAACGAUCCCGUGUCCUUCCACUAGAGGACCUUGCUUGGUCAGAGCAUCUGUAGCUGUUUUCUCCUCCUGUCCAAUUUUCCAUAAAAUUCGUUGCUGUCCCCUGCCCCCCCCCCCCAAAGUUCCUUUCUCCUUUUUUAUACAUUACACUUAGAUCAUUACUUAUUUUUACUGUAUUCUCUUAGGUUUGUUUUUGCUGUGUACUUGUCUGGACCUUUUGGAUUUUGAACCAGGUAAAUAUAUUGUCUAUUCAAAAGUAACUAAUUUUAAAAGACCUGAUAGAAUCCUAGCUCGGAAGAUUCUUAGGAGAAUCAAAAGAGAAAAUGGUUGUAAAGGUGCUUAGCAGUCUGUACAGUGAUUAAAGUGUGAAGGGUGAGUGUCACUCAGCUGUCACCGCCGAGUCACAAGGCUGAGUGAGUUGUCUCUUCCAAGGCACAGCCUCUUUGUCUCGGUUCGUCUCACAGCAUCAUCAACCCAGCGUGAUUUAAACCAGCGUGGGUUCCAGAAAUAAAAGCUGUGUGCGUGUCAGAGUUCUCCUCAGAUAACUUCACACUGGAGGAAAAUUCUGGCCUGUUGUCACGUGGCUAAGCAGUAACUAUGCUAGGAAGUCGCCAUUGGGUUUAAGUUCACAAAAGACCCACCCACAUUUACUCUUUGAUUUUGCACCCUUUUUUUCUUCUGGAAGUUUUAGUCUGCUUUAUUAAUGGAAAUAUCGUGUUCACUAUGUAGUUAUAAUUAAUAUUACCCACCUACCCUGUGAUCGACCUUAUGCUAAGAGCGUUGGGAGACAUAGGUAAGCCUGAGCUCAGGGUGCUUCCAUUAGAAUGGUGAUACGUGUGGUCAGAAGACCCUUGGAGAAUGAUUGCAGUAAUCAGAACGAUGACGUCAGCACCAGGUUAAGGUACUCGUGGCCUUCAGUACGAUGUGGAAGAUGUCCCCUGAGAUUCUGUCCCUCUUCCGCCCCCCAUCCCAUUGUGCUUUAUUUGUUGUCGCUUCCAGAAUUGUCUUUUUGCAGUCCCCGUGAAAAGUGGAUCGUCUCUGUUCAGAGUCCUCAAUGCCCGUUGUGUGAGGUCCUACCAGACCUGAGCUCCACUGGGCAGAACCGGGCCUUCGCCGUGUUUGUUUCUUUUAGUAGCUAACAGAGUUCGUACCGCAGAAGGAAAAGGAAAAGGGCAGUUGGGGGGUGGGGAGGGGGAUACCUUGGAACUAUGUGCUGUAACCGUAGGAGUUCAGCACGGAGAGAUCGGCACGGGUGGAUUAGUGAGAGAGGCUCAGUGAAGGAAGCAGCGCCUGACUUCCAUAACGCGUGUCGUGUGCUAUAGAAGAGAGUGGAAUCCAAAGCUCAUAGAGCCAGCCUUCCAUUUUCCUUACAGAAAUGUAAACCGUAUAUUCACGUUUGCGUGCGUGAAAUGCACACAGGGUUCUGAAGAGCGACUUACAUUUUACACUGCAGGUACCUGUAUUGUUUGAAUUAUUCCAGAGUUGUGUAUUCAUGUGAAACUUUUUUUUUUAAGUGGGAAAGAGAAAAAUUGACUUAAUAAGAAGAGGAAGAUUGAGAAGAGAGGUAAAUGGAAUGGGGAAUAAAUUAAGCAAAAGCUUAGGCAGUUGGUAGUUUUGUGGGAAUAAUGAAUGUAAUCAUGAGAGUCUGAGAAGGUUUGGGGAGUAAGAAGUGGAACGUAACAGUAUAACUGGAAUAUCAUGAUGUUAUGAAAUGCUUCCGAGUUGGCAUUGAACUGAGAACCUUAAGGUGUUAUCAUAAACUUUGAGCCCGAAAGUUACAUAUUUUACGGAUUUCUGUUAGAGAAGAGCUUUCUUUUUCUUUUUUAAAUUACACACCAUCGUUAGAUAGCAGUUAACAGCCUUUCUGUGCAAAGAGCCAAGAUUUUAGGCUAAGUAGGAACGAAAGGCACCAAUUGUUAAGGUACCAACACGAAGAUACUUUAGAUAGUAAAGUACGAGAAGUAACAAAUGUGAACGGAAAACUAUAUUUUAUACAUAACAGAAUCAUUUCUAAGUUAUCCGAAAUACAAAAUAUGCAUCCUCAACCCUGGUUUUCUUUCCCCGCCCCCAAUCCUGAUUUUCAGUUGUAGAAAGGAGGAGGAGGGAUUCUGUUUUCCCAGGCCCUGUAAUGUAGCAUCAUCAGAUUUAGCAAAUAAAGAUGCAGGACAUACGGUUCAUGCGAGUUUCAGAUACACGACAAAUAAUGCAGUAUUUAGGACAUACUAAAAAAAUUCCCUCUUGUGUGUCUGAGAUUCACAUCGAACUGGGGCCCUACAGGUUAUCGGGUGACUCUCACGCUAUUGCUUCUGCCCCCCCUGCAGAAACCAUACCCAGACAUUAGUGACAGUAGCAACAGAGAAGUCGACAUUUCAAAAGCGUAUUUUGCAAAGAUGGAGCAGAGAAUGGAAACCGAAGCGUGGUAGAUGGCGUGCUUACCGAGUCCGUGAUUGGACCAGUGGCCCUCGCUUGGGGGUGGUUUUUCCCCCUGGGGACAUUUGGGGGGCGGCGCUGCUGCCGGGCACCCCACGGGGCACAGGACGGCCCCGCGGCAAAGAGCGUGCAGUCCAGAAUGCCUCGGUGCCGGGCGGAGGAAUCCCACCCCGGGCUGUUGAGGAAAGUGGACACGAACCACUCGCGUCCCAGCCUCCGUGUGAGGCCCCUCGCUCUUCUGGGCCUCCGUUUUCUCAACUGCCAGUUGUCCCGCAUUAACGGAAGCAGAAGGGGGACGAGCGAGCCCACGGCCCCUGCUUGGCCCAUGCUGGGUCCUGGUACGGGUGCGGAGCGCGUGCCAGAGCUCACAGUGAGCGUGCACGAGUGUGGGUGGGCGGUGAGCGUGGACGAGUGUGGGUGGGCGGUGAACACAGAUGGGUGUCCGCGGGUGAGCGUGCGCAGGCGGUGGGCGUGGACGAGUGUGGGUGGGCGGUGAGUGUGGACGGCGUCGACGAGUGUGCGCCGGCGUGAGCCUGGACGAGUGUGAGCGGGCGGUGAGCGUGGACGGGUGUGCGUGGGCGAGUGUGAGCGGGCGGUGAGCGUGGACGAGUGUGGGCGGGCAGUGAGCGUGCACGAGUGUGGGCGGGCGGUGAGCGUGGACGAGUGCGCGCCGGCGUGAGUCUGGACGAGUGUGCGCGGGCGGUGAACGUGGACGGGUGUGCGUGGGCGAGUGUGAGCGGGCGGUGACGGAGCCUCGGCCCGCCCUGCCAGCUGGUCACCCAGCCCUCUUAGCGUCCUGCGCUCCUUUCUGUCGAGAGAGGCCUGACUCUGCUGUCCACGCGGAACAGUGUUUCCCCUCCCCCCACCCCCGCCCGCUGUCUUCUAGCAGCUUAUCGGAAAGUCGGCCUAAUACCUUGACUUGAGCUUCAACGUCGCAGUGCGUGCUUUGUUGUUGGAACACAAAGCUGCGGAUUCUGUUUUGUUUCUAUUUGAAAGUAGACGUGGUACUUCUAUAAGCCACAUCGACUCCAUGCUCCUGAAAACACUAUAGCUUUCCUGAGUGAACCAUAUUCCAGUUAUUUCCAAUAAUUCUUUUGAAAGCCUAAGUAAGGGUGGCUCGUGGUUGUGUUCCUGUUCACAUGGAAGGAGUGCUUUCCUGGCAGAUGGUGUCAAGAGUCACGUUGCGAGUUUACUCCGCGAGUCGGAGUUACCCCUUUUUACUCAAAAUGAGCCACCGUGGCUCUGUUUGACAGCUCUGGACGGACGUACACAGAACUUGCUAAACUGCUCUGUUGCCCUCUUUCCUUCAUGGAGUGUAUUUUUACGUCGUUAAUGGACAGGAGUCGCUUGCAGUGCUUGGACCAGCUCUUGUAGGCUUGGAGAGGGUUCUGCAGAGCGUUCAGAACCUGCUUCAAAAAAUAACUGGGAAGAUCAGAGAAACGACUGUUGGAAGGGAACCCCUUUCCUGUUAACUCUUUGUGACAGUUCCGCAGGAAAAAAGUAACUUCUAUCAUUUAACCAUUUUUGUUAGUGUUGAGUGAAGGCAUUCCACAAACAACAAACGGGAAGUUCCUCGGAUAGAUCCAGACCAGUGCAUUUAAAUCCCAUUCAGGCGACAACGGGAGGGUUUCUAGGGCACCACAGCCACGCAGCCACCUGGCCCCUCACCUUCGUGUUGUUUGCCCCAAGGGCACACGCUGUGUUCUCUGUGUCGUGCCUUCCCCUGUAGGAUCCAGUUCGCAUCAGAUCCUUGUUAGCGGGUGAGAUGGCCACAGUGGUUACACUGAUUCAGUCGUCGUCGUAGGGAAGGCACAGCCUCAGGGCCCGGCUGCUCCCUGCAGGGGCGCGUGGCGCCGUCACCCAGCAGCCCUGGCCACCCCGCGGCACCAGCCGGCAGGUUCCAGCGGGACGGGACACACACCCCGCGGACCCGGUCGCGUCCUGGCCGCUGCUCGUGGCCCACGGCCCCCGGCCCCCCCGGAGGUGGUAUGGGGCAGAGAGCAGUGAAGUCCACGAAGUCCACGAACCAGGCCUCACGUGGACGGAUUUCUGUUAGCACCGAAAAAGGGAAGUAACUGUUCGACCGCCUGCCGAACACACUCCCUGCUGGCCCCACCGCCACCGGAGUGUAGCCUUGUGAUGUCGUCUCGCCGAUGGCCUCAGGGCCGGGGCAUGUCAUAGCACCUGGGCGAAAGGGCAGUGAUGAGAGGUCCUUCUUCAUAGAAGAAGGCCACGUCUGAGAACUAACGAGGCUUUGGCCGUAUCCGGCUGGUUCUCGGGGCUAACCUAGGACGGGAGACCAUCAUUCCAUUGCCUUCGGAGCUGAGAACGAAGAAUGCAUCUUCCUGUUGCCGUGGCUUAUCUCAAAGGCCAUUCUCCGUCACUCUCAGUGAGCACCCUGUGUUGGGGAGAGUGACAGAGCAAUGAAGAAGCUAACUCCCUGCAAGAGAUGCCUCCUCGUGCAAUAACGGUGGCCGUAUCAGGAGGGGCAGAGCCAAGUUCACGUAGCCUUUGUGGCGCAGAUGGCUCGCCUUCUGAGAGAUGCCUCAUCCCCUCGGAUUCCACCCUCAGAAAUUGUCUCUCAGAAUGGAAACCUCAGUGGGGAUGGGCUGUCUUCGUGAGUUUCACGAUUAUCAGCCUUAACCAAUAUUCGGGGUGCAGAAUGAAAGUUGAAAUAUCUUGUUAUUUUUGUUUUACUUCAGCCAUAAUCAACCCUAAUUUUUCAAGCAUAUGUUUCCAUUUUACUUUAUGUUGCAAAGCCUCUGGACGCAGUCCCAAGUGCUAAGUGCUCACCUUAACUGCACCUCGUCGAGGUGGUAAAUGGCCUCUUCGCAGCAGACUGCGGUUAGAGACAGCUUCCGGCAGCGGCGGGGAUGGGCAAAUGACCUCGGCUCCUGCGGGCCUCUAUCAGCGGUGGUCCACGUUAUUGAUAGUAGCGGAGAUAUUGACAGUCUGUGCUUGGAAGGAAAAUAGGAGUUUGAUAUGACAUAUUGUGUGUCUCAGCAAGACUCAUAAAUAAUUUUGACAAGUUUUUGUAUGCAUGGGAAAGUCCUUGAUUCAGCCUCCCAUAAAAAUAAACUUCUAUUAUGGAAUGUAUUUGUCAAGUGGCUGCUUGAUGGAUGGAGCUGCGUUUACCCCUUGGCAGUUCGAUGAGUUUUAGAUGCACAGCUUACCAGAGAGGAUUUACGGGUAGUACAGAAAUAAUUAUUCAGUAUGAAAUGCAUAAUUCCUGUACCUGAAUUUUCAUUUUUUAUUAUAUUUUUGUUUCUGUUGCAUUUCUGGUCUCUAAAACAAAAGAAGUUGCUUUCUGCGCACCGCCACCCCCCCCCCCCUUGGAGCUAUUGUUUGUAGGAGACUUUAUGUUGAACAAUCUGAUUCAACCCAGACCCUGUCCCAGACUUAGCGGGCAUAUUUUCAUUGAAUGGGUAAUUUUGGUUUUGUAACUUAAGAGAGAUUUACUAAAAACAAAGAAGAUAAGCAAUUUGCAAAAUUUAUUUGUAUUAAUGGGAUUGAGAACUUUGGACAUAGAUGGUCUUAUUUUUCCUGAAGUUAUCACAGCUCUUUACUUAUUUUACUUAUUUGAUUGCUCGUCUACAUUUCAGCUCCAUAAAACAGAAUUUAAACUUAAAUUCUUAUCUCCUUACACUAAACUCUGUCUUUUUUUCCUCUGAACUAUAUUUAGAAUUGCUUUCGCAUCAACCAUGCACCCUGUAAGUUAGCAUCCUCGAAUAAGUUAGAAGCUUCGGAAAGUGUUAAACUCCCACGAGCGUAUGACCUUGUUGGGCUUGUAUUACGUGACGUGCUAGAUGGUAUCUGGGGGGACCAAGCAGACUCUAACUUGGAGAUGCAUGUUCGGGAAAACCAGAGUGAACAGUGGGUCCGCAGGAAUCUUGAUUCUCCGUUAGAACAUCGUGCUGGCUUUUCAUAAGAAUUUCCACUUGCUGAAUCUCUAUUAAGGUGCCUCUUGGGACCCAAAUGGGAAGGUGUGGCCAGAGCGGGAGGAUAAGCCGGCCAGGCCUGUUUGAGAAUGUGGCUCUGAGCUUCUUUGGGUGCUGAGUUCCUGAUGCGUGGCUAAUGUAGUCCUCUGUGCCUUCUCUCUUCCUGCUUGAGAGUGGUUUGUUAAUCUUACUAGUCUGCAAAAUAGCAGCUCCUUCUGGUUCUUUGUUUUAUGUUUAAUAAAUUCUGCUUUUACGUUUUAUUUCCUUCCUUGUACUUUUUUGUUUGCUCCGAUUUUUUUUUUUCCUGAUUUUUCUUCUUUUUCCUGAUGCUUGCCUGAUUUCUGUGCUUUAUAGGCACCCACGCUACAGGACCUGAAUUUCCCUCUAAGUAAUGCCUUAGCUGCAACCUCCAAGUUUUACUGUUCUAGAAUUUCUGAAAUCUUUCAGCUCUACAUGUUUUCUGAUUUCCAUUUCCAUUUCUUCUUUAAUCUCUUAAGCUAUUUUAAAUUGUUCUUAUACUUCCUGAUGUUGGUGGGUUUCUAGCUUUUCUACUUGUUACUAGCUUAUCACUUAAAGCACUGUAAUCGGGAGUGCCUGGGUGGCUCUGUCAGUUAAGCGUCUGACUUCAGCUCAGGUCAUGAUCUAGUGGUCCGUGAGUUCAAGCCAUGCAUCAGGCUCUGUGCUGACAUCUCGGAUCCUGGAGCCUGCUUCAGAUUCUGUGUUUCCCUCUCUCUCUGCCUCUCCUCCAGUCUAUCUUGCUCUCGCUCUUGCUGUAGCUCUCAAGAAUAAAUAAACAUUAAAAAUGUGUUUUUAAAUAAAGCACUGUAGUCAGAAAAUGCAGUGUCAAGGCCCACAGAAUGAAACAGCUGCUGCCUUCAGGGGACUCUCGGUCACAAGUAGAGAAGAAAAUAUGUUAGUAGGUGAUUACCCUGCAACACAAGAGGUGCUAGAAGGGAAAUUGGUAUCAGAUGCCACAGGGACUCACGUAGAGGCUCACUCAGCUCUCCGCAGUUGUGCUGUGGAGUUAGAAGCUAGGUUUGGAAAGGUGUUUUCUAGACGGAGAGGUACAUGGUAUUCUAGGCAGGAGGAGAAAUCCUUGCAAUGCAUGGGCUCCAAGUGGGUAACUUUGGUGUGGCUGCUCAAAGACCAUAUUUAUGUUUGGGAGUAUCCGGGGGUGAGGCUGCAACGUCACACUAGGGACAAAUUGUGAAGAUCGUUGUGUGUGGUGCCGAGGAGGUUAGACGUGAGUGUUGGAUGUUGGGGAGCCCUACGUAGAUUUUAAUGAUGACCUCUUUGCAAGUCGCUGGAAGGAUACAGCAAAGAUCUGCCGAAUACCUGCCACUUUCCAGGCGCUGCCCCCUGUGCUGCAAGCACAGCCCUACAUGGAGACAGAAAUGGCCACAGGCCUUGCUGUCCAGUGGAGGAGAAGGGCACUGUCACCAUUACACACACGACUUUGUUGUCCAGUUCUGAAGAUGCUCUGUAGGAAAAGCACUGGGUCCACGGAGGUCGAGAACUGCGGCAUAACCCGACGUUAACGGUUGGGGAAGCUUCCUGAGGAAGCGGCCUGUCCAUUCAUCUUGGAGGAAGAGCCGCCUGAUGGCAGGGCCUGCAGAGGGUGGUCUCGGGAGUGCGAGCGUCCUGGUGCACGUUCUCAGUUCCUUAAGACGAUUUCCUAGCAGGAGGAUCCAAGAGCCGUUGAUUCCAGAGCGUUGGUACACAUUGCCAAGUCGCCCUCCCCUGGACCGCCCCCGCUGCAGGUGCCCGAGGGCGCUGUCUCCCCUCUCACCGUGUGCACACGGCCUUCAUUGCCAGCAUAGCGGUCUGUCCAGCACACAGCUCUUCGGACUGCUGGUGAGGCUCGCGCUCUUCCAAAUGUUCCUUACGCAUGUGUGCCGUUGGCUUUGUGAACUCUUCGUCUUUUAACUUCAACAAUUUGUUUUAUCUUUAAGAUAAACAUUUAGUGUGAUGUAUGGCUUCAGUGUCAUACCUUUUUAUUUCAGGGUUAUAGGAGCAUUUUGAUUACAUUCUUUGAUUUUUAUGGUCUUCCUUUUUAAGAAUCCAAACCUUCAAUCCAUUUGGGACAUAUUUUGGUAUAAAGUCUCACCUGAAGAUCUAAUCUCAUUUUUCCCCCAAAUGGUUACUUUCCCAAUGUAUUUGUUGAGUAAUCCAUGCUUUCCCUCUCUGAUUUGAAAUGCCACCUUUAUCUCAUCACUUCCCAGGCAUAUUUUAUUUUCUCCAGAUUCUUUAUUCUGCUUGGUGCACUAACUCUCUUCUCUCACCACAGGGACCCGUUCUUUUUCUUACUGCAUUGCUAUCGUGUUCUCUUUUAAUAUUGGAUAGGACAGAUUCCCUUAAUUUCUCUUAUUUCAUGCAUUGUUCAAGAGUAUACUUUAAGUAAAUUGUUAUCUUUGUAUUUUAAAAUUUCCUUUAUAGAACACUGUUUCUCACCAGUUACUCCAGCUUUUGAUCAUUCAACCAGUUAUUUUCCCUGUAUGGUAAAUAUUUGGUAGCAGGUGUCUAGAAUUUUUCGAUUAUUGUACUUAUAUACCAUUUAUAAAAGAGCUAUUUAUUUUUGUCUAUUUUUCUUAUAUCAAGCCACUGAACUGUGUCCUGUUAGUGCAGAGCUGAUUGUUUUACACAUCAUAGGUAGUCCCAUAUAUUGUAAUCCACUGGCAAUAAGUGGUAAACAGGGAAAUAACCAAACUAUAAGUACAUAGUUGAGUGAAUGAAAUAAGCAUCCCCCCAGCCCAAAUGCAUGCGCCCUGUAUAUCUCCCUAAGAAUACACAGUUGGUAACAGACUUAUUUUUAAAUGUGAACGCCUCCAGGAGAAUUAAACCGUGUACUCCUUGUUCAGUAACUUGAUUCCUACCGAAGUGUUGCAUAACUUGAAAUCACUUUUUAUGAGGGUGAAUUAGGGAAGAGACUAGGAAUUUUAUGGCGAUGGCAAGCUAGGAGAGUAUUUUGUUAAACACUCACUAUGGUAGGAACUCUGUUACUCGUCCAAUACAACGAACCGUUGUAUUCAAUAGUAACUCCUGUGAGAGUGUUAUCCUUAUUCCACAGUAAAGCAAGUCCAGACAGAUAGUUUUAAGUAACUUUUUCAGGAUUUGAAGUCACGUAGUUUGAGUCCAGAACCCAGCUGCUAAGCACUGUGCUGUAUUGCCAAGAAAGCAGACAUGUCAUAGGGCAGAAGUCGUCCGCGGGUUUUGUUUUUCAUUUUAUUGUUUCUGAAAUCAGGAAUCCCGAUAAUUUCUUCUAAAUCAAGGUCUCCUUUUGCCAUCAGUAACGUCUUAGACUUAAAGAGAUAAAAUAAAAGGUCUUGAGUCCUAAAGGUAGGACUGGCGUAGUAGCAAAAGACAAAAGCAUGAGAUGGGAGAGUGUUUCUCAGGGGACAUCCUGCAGAUUUUGUUGUUUGGCUUGGGGCUGUGGCUCCAGCAAUUACAUCCUGAGAGCCACUGUUGGCGAUUUGUUCUUCAGGAAUUGGGGGAACUACUGACACGUAGCACAGCACAGUCACAGGGAUUACGCUGAGCCUGUGAGGCCAUACCUAGGGAACGAAGUACUAUAUCAAUCAAUUUACAUGAAAUUCUGGAGGAGGCAAGACUAAUCUGAGGCUUAAAAAAAGAAGAAAGAAAGAAA